rnacentral:rRNA from 1 species
GAUGAACGCUAGCUACAGGCUUAACACAUGCAAGUCGAGGGGAAACGACAUCGAAAGCUUGCUUUUGAUGGGCGUCGACCGGCGCACGGGUGAGUAACGCGUAUCCAACCUGCCCACCACUUGGGGAUAACCUUGCGAAAGUAAGACUAAUACCCAAUGACGUCUCUAGAAGACAUCUGAAAGAGAUUAAAGAUUUAUCGGUGAUGGAUGGGGAUGCGUCUGAUUAGCUUGUUGGCGGGGUAACGGCCCACCAAGGCGACGAUCAGUAGGGGGUUCUGAGAGGAAGGUCCCCCACAUUGGAACUGAGACACGGUCCAAACUCCUACGGGAGGCAGCAGUGAGGAAUAUUGGUCAAUGGGCGAGAGCCUGAACCAGCCAAGUAGCGUGCAGGACGACGGCCCUAUGGGUUGUAAACUGCUUUUAUAAGGGAAUAAAGUGAGUCUCGUGAGACUUUUUGCAUGUACCUUAUGAAUAAGGACGGCUAAUUCCGUG